GAUGAACGCUGGCGGCGUGCCUAAUACAUGCAAGUCGAGCGAACAGACGAGGAGCUUGCUCCUCUGACGUUAGCGGCGGACGGGUGAGUAACACGUGGAUAACCUACCUAUAAGACUGGGAUAACUUCGGGAAACCGGAGCUAAUACCGGAUAAUAUAUUGAACCGCAUGGUUCAAUAGUGAAAGACGGUUUUGCUGUCACUUAUAGAUGGAUCCGCGCCGCAUUAGCUAGUUGGUAAGGUAACGGCUUACCAAGGCGACGAUGCGUAGCCGACCUGAGAGGGUGAUCGGCCACACUGGAACUGAGAAACGGUCCAGACUCCUACGGGAGGCAGCAGUAGGGAAUCUUCCGCAAUGGGCGAAAGCCUGACGGAGCAACGCCGCGUGAGUGAUGAAGGUCUUCGGAUCGUAAAGCUCUGUUAUUAGGGAAGAACAAAUGUGUAAGUACCUAUGCACGUAUUGACGGUACCUAAUCAGAAAGCUACGGCUAACUACGUG
rnacentral:rRNA from 1 species